rnacentral:lncRNA from 1 species
AGCCACAGCCACAGUAACGCCAGAUCUGAGCUUCGUCUGCAACCUACACUGCAGCUUGUGGCAAUGCUGGAUCCUUAACCCACUGAAUGAGGCCAGAGAUCGAACCCACCUCCUCAUGGGUACUAGUCAGAUUCUUAACCCACUGAGCCACAACAGGAACUCUUGAUUUUUAUCAGCUAUUAUCAACAUGGCAUGAACUGAUUUAUGAGAAGAACUAGCCAGUCUUCCAACAAAGCCCUGAGGUAUUGCUCUUGGAUGGAGAGUCACCUUGCUCAAGAUCACACCCCCUUCCCUGAAGUGAUCCAUCUCCAGUGACUGGCCAAGGACAAGACAAAAAUCUUGGCAUCUUGCCUCAAGAUGGGACAACUCGGAAGGUUUCGUGCCUGUCCCAUGGCUCUCCAUGGCAUCAGCUGAGUACUUUGUCGUGCCUGUAUCUCAGCCCAGCUUCCUCCUUCCCUGGUCCUGCACCCUCACUCCCCCACAGGGGUCCCUCCAGAAUAUGCUACCCUAUCAACUCCUCAUACAUGAAUCUUAUCCCAGACUCAGAAUUCCAAGAAACUUGACCUGGGACACUGUCCUUCUUUUUUCUCUGAGCUUCUUCUUCAUGAUUAAAGAUGAAUCUUAUCGUAGGUGAUUGGUACUCACACAGCAUGCAUGGCAAAGUAAAAAUUAUUCUUUAACUGCUAAAGCCUCUAAAUGUCCUGAGAAUUUCCCCUCAAUAAUUUCCACAAAUCUCCAAAUUUCUUCUCAUCCUCGUAUAAUUAAAAAUGCCAUUGUCAAAGCCAUGUCAUAGAAAUAAGAAACUAUUCUUAUUAACUUGGUUAUUUUCAGUUAUAAUUAAUGGAUUUGCAAGAGGUCUUCACUGCUAAACUCCACUAUUUGAUUCUUCUACUGCUUUUCAUUACAAAUGUGCAUUAUUUCAUCAAGGUUUAAAUUUAAAUCUAUUUCUAUGGUCUGGCCUUUUGUUCCUUUUAUUAUUUUUGAUAGAAAAAGUAUUUUCAAGUUCAGAACAACUGACUUUGAGAUAAACUUUGGAACCCAUCCUGUCUGUAAGUGGGAGUUUGUGAUCACAUGGAAUAAUUGGCUUUGGAAACAGAGAGAAGCCUGACCGCAUUUCAGGACUUGAAACAACCUUCAUGCUUCCUUGAUGAGGCAGGUGCCCAGACGCCUCGCUUUAUAAUAGCAGCUAGGCAGUCACAGUUUGAUUUCUCAACCUCAGGUCACUGCUUGGCCCACACCCAUAUUGACCAUCUGAAUAGUCUGGCCACUUACAGGGCUAUUAGACAGCAUGGCCACAUGUGGAAUGGGCAGUGAUUCUUUCCUACAUAUGGGGCAAGUGAGGCCACUAAAUUCAUCCAUCCAAAACUUCUCCCCACUCCUUUUUUUGGAAGUGAAGUAAGGCUGAGCAUUCCAUUUAAAUUUUUAGUGAUUUAAAAAUGUUUUAAUUACCAGCACUGUGUGAGGGACCAGAAUUAUAAAUUGUUUAGUCCAGAGCCAGAGUUCCCAUUGUGGCUCAGCAUGUUAAGGACUGGUGCUGCCACAAGCUGCAGCAUAGGUCACAGACAUGGCUCAGAUCCAGUACUGUCAUGGCUGAAGUAUAAGCCUCAGCAGCAGCUCCAAUUCGACCCCUAGCCCAGGAACUUCCGGAAGCCACAGGUGCAGCCAUAAAAAAUUAAAAACAAAAGACAAGUCUAGAGCUUACCCAUUCACAUGAGAGCAAAGACUCAAAUUAUAACUUCAAAGACACAUCAGCCAAACUAAAUGAGAUGAAAAAAACUGUUGUAUACAAAUACACCAAAUACAAAAAGAAGGUAGAUUUCUAGUCACUAAUUGAUAAAGAAUGGGUAACCAAAGCUGCUUUCUUCAAAUGUUCACAAGGAUGAAGAGCAGAACCAAAGCAUCCUAUGAUAGAGUCACUGAUAUGAACAACUAUUCAACUGCUAAUGGAGUCUCAGAAGCAUUAGCUGGAAAGUGGAAGCCACCCCAGGCAAGAGAGGGACACCCAGAGUGGCAGCAGGGUCUGGAACUGUCCCAGUU